rnacentral:rRNA from 1 species
UAUGUGAUCGUCUCUCGCAUAUCAAUAAGCGGAGGAAAAGAAACUAACAAGGAUUCCCCUAGUAACGGCGAGUGAAGCGGGAAGAACUCAAAUUUGAAAUCUUAAAGGGUUUCCCUUUACGAAUUGUAGUUUAAAGAAGUGUUUUCUGUUGAGGUUUUGGUAAAAGUUCUUUGGAAUAGGACAUCAUAGAGGGUGAGAAUCCCGUAUUUGACCUUUACUUUCAACUUUGUGAUACACUUUCAAAGAGUCGGAUUGUUUGGGAAUGCAGUCCAAAAUGGGUGGUAAAUUUCAUCUAAAGCUAAAUAUUGGCGAGAGACCGAUAGCGAACAAGUACCGUGAGGGAAAGAUGAAAAGAACUUUGAAAAGAGAGUUAAACAGUACGUGAAAUUGUCAAAAGGGAAGCGUUUGACACCAGUGUUGUUUUUCUGAAAAUCAAUUAAAGAACUGUUUAUGCUAAGUUGUUUAGACUUUAUCAGCUAAUCUGUUUAGUUUUGAGCUUUUCUUUAAUGCACUUUUCAGUUAACAAGUCAACAUCAAUUUCUUUUGCUGUAAAAAAGCUUGAGGAAGGUGGCUUGAGAUUCGUCUUAAGUGUUUAUAGCCUCUUGCCUAUGCAGUCGGAGAGAUUGAGGUCUGCAGCGUAGAUCCUUCGGGGCUAAGUGCAUUUGUGCUAAGUUAUAGCAUUUUAUAGACAACUUGUUGACUAUGAUUUGUCUUGUAGCUUACUCGCUUAUGUUAUUUUACCUACGCUUAGGAUGUUGAUAUGCAUGACUGAUAU